rnacentral:rRNA from 1 species
GACGAGCUCUCCAAACGUUAUUCGGUAUUACUGGGCUUAAAGAGUUCGUAGGCGGUCGUGUAGGUGAGGUGUGAAAGCCCUCGGCUCAACCGAGGAACUGCGCUUCAAACCGCACGGCUGGAGGAAGGUAGGGGUACGUGGAACAGAUGGUGGAGCGGUGAAAUGCGUUGAUAUCAUCUGGAACGCCGGUGGCGAAAGCGACGUACUGGACCUUUUCUGACGCUGAGGAACGAAAGCUAGGGUAGCGAACGGG